CCUACGGGCGGCAGCAGUGAGGAAUAUUGGUCAAUGGACGAGAGUCUGAACCAGCCAAGUAGCGUGAAGGAUGACUGCCCUAUGGGUUGUAAACUUCUUUUAUAUGGGAAUAAAAUGUUCCACGUGUGGGAUUUUGUAUGUACCAUAUGAAUAAGGAUCGGCUAACUCCGUGCCAGCAGCCGCGGUAAUACGGAGGAUCCGAGCGUUAUCCGGAUUUAUUGGGUUUAAAGGGAGCGUAGGUGGAUUGUUAAGUCAGUUGUGAAAGUUUGCGGCUCAACCGUAACAUUGCAGUUGAAACUGGCAGUCUUGAGUACAGUAGAGGUGGGCGGAAUUCGUGGUGUAGCGGUGAAAUGCUUAGAUAUCACGAAGAACUCCGAUUGCGAAGGCAGUUCACUGGACUGCAACUGACACUGAGGCUCGAAAGUGUGGGUAUCAAACAGGAUUAGAUACCCGAGUAGUC
rnacentral:rRNA from 1 species